rnacentral:rRNA from 1 species
UGGGGAAUAUUGCACAAUGGGCGCAAGCCUGAUGCAGCCAUGCCGCGUGUAUGAAGAAGGCCUUCGGGUUGUAAAGUACUUUCAGUCGGGAGGAAGGUGUCAAGGUUAAUAACCUUGGCAAUUGACGUUACCGACAGAAGAAGCACCGGCUAACUCCGUGCCAGCAGCCGCGGUAAUACGGAGGGUGCAAGCGUUAAUCGGAAUUACUGGGCGUAAAGCGCACGCAGGCGGUUUGUUAAGUCAGAUGUGAAAUCCCCGGGCUCAACCUGGGAACUGCAUCUGAUACUGGCAAGCUUGAGUCUCGUAGAGGGGGGUAGAAUUCCAGGUGUAGCGGUGAAAUGCGUAGAGAUCUGGAGGAAUACCGGUGGCGAAGGCGGCCCCCUGGACGAAGACUGACGCUCAGGUGCGAAAGCGUGGGGAGCAAACAG